AAUUUUCGACAAUGGGGGAAACCCUGAUCCAGCCAUCCCGCGAGUAUGAUGACGGCCUUCGGGUUGUAAAGUACUUUUGGCAGAGAAGAAAAGGUAUCUUCUAAUACGAGAUACUGCUGACGGUAUCUGCUGAAUAAGCACCGGCAUACUACGUUCCAGCAGCUGCGGUAUUACGUAGGGUGCAAGCGUUAAUCUGAAUUACUGGGCGUAAAGCGUGUGUAGGCGGUUCGGAAAGAAAGAUGUGAAAUCCCAGGGAUCAACCUUGGAACUGCAUUUUUAACUGCCGAGCUAGAGUAUGUCAGAGGGGGGUAGAAUUCCACGUGUAGCAGUGAAAUGCGUAGAUAUGUGGAGGAAUACCGAUGGCGAAGGCAGCCCCCUGGGAUAAUACUGACGCUCAGACACGAAAGCGUGGGGAGCAAACA
rnacentral:rRNA from 1 species